ACGCUGGCGGCGUGCUUAACACAUGCAAGUCGAACGGUGAAGCGCCUUCCUUUUUGGUGGGUGUGGAUGAGUGGCGAACGGGUGAGUAACACGUGAGUAACCUGCCCCCUUCUUCUGGAUAACCGCAUGAAAGUGUGGCUAAUACGGGAUAUUCUGGGUCUGUCGCAUGAUGGGUCUGGGAAAGAUAUUGUUUCGGUGGGGGAUGUGCUCGCGGCCUAUCAGCUUGUUGGUGGGGUGAUGGCCUACCAAGGCGGUGACGGGUAGCCGGCCUGAGAGGGUGGACGGUCACACUGGGACUGAGACACGGCCCAGACUCCUACGGGAGGCAGCAGUGGGGAAUAGUGCACAAUGGGCGCAAGCCUGAUGCAGCGACGCCGCGUGAGGGAUGGAGGCCUUCGGGUUGUGAACCUCUUUCGCCAGUGAAGCAGGCCUGCCUCGUUUGUGGGUGGGUUGACGGUAGCUGGAUAAGAAGCGCCGGCUAACUACGUG
rnacentral:rRNA from 1 species